ACGAGUUUAGGGUAGUUGGUGAGGUAAAAGGCUCACCAAGCCGACGAUCUGUAGCUGGUCUGAGAGGACGACCAGCCACACUGGGACUGAGACACGGCCCAGACUCCUACGGGAGGCAGCAGUGGGGAAUAUUGGGACAAUGGGCGAAAGCCUGAUCCAGCAAUGCCGCGUGAGUGAUGAAGGCCUUAGGGUUGUAAAGCUCUUUUACCCGAGAUGAUAAUGACAGUAUCGGGAGAAUAAGCUCCGGCUAACUCCGUG
rnacentral:rRNA from 1 species